UCGGAUAGCUGCUCUGUGACCGAUGAAGAACAGCGUGCCCGUGAGGAUCACCUUUGCAAACAGAAGCAGGAGUGGGCACGAAAGCAUCGGCGACCAAUUGCAGUAUAUCACAGUGACCACAAAGCAAUGGUUACCAUGGUGACAAAGUUGUGGACGCUUCCAGACACAAGACUGAUUUAUGCAGCAGGCGUUCCUUGGCUGCAUCUGCAAUGCUAGCUCAAGGCGAGAAUGCUUUGGGCACGUUGCCAUCUGCGUCCACAGUCAUCCUGGCACAACUGCCAUGGUGGAAAAGGAAAGUAUCAGCAACGUUCUCACACCUACACUGUCCUUAUUGAACUUUCCAAAAGGGGAACGUAUCCAAUAAAAUAAAGCACUAAUUUACUUUCA